rnacentral:rRNA from 1 species
UACGUAGGCAGCGAGCGUUGUUCGGAAUUACUGGGCGUAAAGAGUGUGUAGGCGGUGCUCUAAGUUCGGUGUGAAAUCUCCUGGCUCAACUGGGAGGGUGCGCCGGAAACUGGAAUGCUUGAGCGUGGAGAGGAAAGCGGAAUUCCUGGUGUAGCGGUGAAAUGCGUAGAUAUCAGGAGGAACACCUGUGGUGUAGACGGCUUUCUGGACCAUAGCUGACGCUGAGACACGAAAGCGUGGGUAGC